UGUUUUGUUUUGUUUUUUUACACUUUGCAAACCCUUUUUGAAAAGAAAUAGCAUUUCUGUUACUUUAUGUCUUAGGGUCUGCCUAAGGUCCCUUUUGGAAGCCAGAAGACUUUAUCAUGGUCAUAAAUUUCUUGCUCUGAGGUGGAGAAAAACAUGUUUUAAUGGGUGCAAGUCUCUCAAGAUACCACAACAAGAAGAAACAGAGGAAAGGUCUAUUACUUGCAGUAGACUGGAGAAUUCCACAGCCAAGAUGAGACUCCUCACCUAAUUUCACCCACUGAAAGUUAGCUUCCUAGAUAAAAUUAAUCAUUAGGUUCUGCAGGCAGUAGAGAAGAGGUGAAUUGCCUUUGGACACACCCAUGUUACUUACCCGAGAAAUUGUUUUAGAAUGGCAUAAAUCUCUCUCCCCAUUUCUGGGGAGAUUUAAAUGAGGGAUUUAGUUUUUAGGUAGCUGAAGCUGAAUUAAAUUGAUCUUUUUUGCUGACUAUGCUUGUGUCUAGAUGAAGCUGUUACAUACUUCAAGCAGGGCCACAAGGACAACAGGGCACCGGAAUAACCCCUUUAGAAUUCUUCCUUGGGGAAGAAUUAUUAAGAUAAAUUCAGUUUCCACAUCAUCUGAUCUUGCAGGUGUCUACAGGUUCAGCCAUAAACAGCACUUUGAAUACCUGAGAAUGCGUCAGGCUCUGCCUGCUGAUGUACACCCUGGGACUGUGUACUGCCACUGUGGGAAGUUUACUAUUUUUUUCCUUCAAGAAAACUACAUGAUAGUUUCUGUCCUCUCCCAGUUUUUUUACUUUAUAAAGUGAAAACACUGUAAUAAUUUUAUAGAGGUUUCUUUGCAACAGAUAUAGAUGUAGGGUCUGACAGUAGAUUUAAAAGUCUUCAUUCUCUUCCAUUUCUGAAGUGGGUUUGUUGUUCUCUGGAAGACGUGAGAGCGCUGUCGGUCACUUGUGUUAACAGGACGAAGUCAAGCCUUUAAGGAGAUCUGCCGUGUGCUGUCAAAAUGGCAUCAUCUAUGAGAGCACAGACUGUAAAUUCCCUGAGGUGGAAACUAGGUUGUGAAUGGGUAACACAUAACUAAUAUAUAAAGAUUAUUAACUCUCAGAAAUGGAUUCAGUUGCCUAAGCAGAGGUCUCUAGUGCUAUUUUUGGAUACAUCAGUUGGCAUCCACCUGCAGCUCUGGAAAGGCAUGGGUCUUCCUUAGACCCUGGGCCAUGUCAGCUGGCCCCACGGCCAAGGACUCUGAAAUGGCACACGCCUGAGUAUGGGUUUUGUUUGGCUUAACAAGAGUCAUUUGAAACAAGAUGCUGAUAGGAUUUCCAGGAUGCGGAUUUACAGUGGUCUUAGGCUCAAGAGAGGUUUGUCGGUGUAUAUGUUUCAGUGUGAGGGAGGUGUGCUCCAUGAAGGUAUAGUUGAGAGUCUUUGUACAACAGUGGGCACUAGAUUGGACAGUCUUUUCAGAUGCUCAAGACUUCUCCUUUCUGCUUUGUGAAGGCUUUCAUGGUAUCAAGUCACUGUUCUAAUAAUAAGCUAAUAACAGUCAAGACUGAUCACUAACAUUUUCAGUAUGGUAAAAAAGGUAGUAAAGUAGCUCAAAAAAAACCUCUGAAGAGCAAUCUUGCCAGAAGAAAUGUUUUUAAUCCCUGAAAGGAGGGGUUUUGGUUUUGCCAUCCUGAGAACUCUCAUAUAUCCCAGCCCCUUCUGUGCUACAGGGCUUGCACAGGACUUGGAAAUCUUUCUCCAUUCUGUUAACAAGCACCAACUGAGCUGUGUGGGUGAUCUCAGCCUUUCUAGCUCAUUAAGAGGAGCCAAAAAGCUGCCUAAUGAGAACUGAGUGUCAGCAGCUCUGGGAGGAGCAAAACAUCUGUGUAUGGAAGGAUAAAAAAACAGUUUCUGCUGGUACAAUGUUAGAGAUGUAGUCGGUGUUUUUGUAGCGCAGAUGACACAAUGUAUGUGCAGUAGGGCAUUAAUUUCUUGAGCAAGGUGCCCUGUGCUAAAAUAUCUGUCUACUGAUGCAACCAAUACAUUUGGCCUUGGGAGGGAGAGGGGAACAAGUGCAAUGGAAGAACAUGUGAUAGUGUAAAGAGGAGCAGGGAGUAAAAGACCUGGAGAAAGAUUAGAAAAUGCAAAACAAGGAAACAUUGCAAAUUAUCGUAUGCUUUCAAAGAAGAAAAUGAGAAGCAAGAAGUCUUCAGGGAAAAAAAAAAAGAAGAAAUAAUUAUAUCCAGCAUUAAAGUUAACUGGAGCUGUGUUUGUUUUGUACUGUAUUUGUUUAUCUUUUUGGAUGGAGCAGUGUAUUAAUAGUACAUAGCUGUGGUUUGUAUUAAAGCACACAGAACUAAUCAAUACUUGGGUAAACCUUAGGAACUGCAGUUGUGUUUGAUUCACUGUUUUAUAAUGGAGAACUCAAAAGCCUUUUCAGCCUUCCACUGAAACCAUGGGACUGUUUGGGUCACAGAACAGAAUGGCCACUUCAAAUUUUUCAACGGAAAACUGCAAACAAAAAUGAGAGUGCAAACCAUGCUCUUCAUCCCACCUGAAGUCACCAGCAUCUGUGUGCCACCACAGUCAAAGCUGGGGACAGCCAAGUCGGAAUUCAUUUUAUCAGAAGAUUACAACAAGAUGACACUAGUGAAAACUUACCAGGCUCAUCAAAGCAGGGUCAUGAUGAUUCUCUUCGUCCUGGAGAUGGAGUGGGUGUUAAGCACUGGACAAGACAAACACUUCACGUGGCACUGUUCAGAGAGCGGCCAGCGGCUGGGAGGGUACCGCACCAGCGCAGGCGCCUGUGGCCUGCAAUUUGAUGUGGAAACCCGGCACGUGUUUGUUGGUGAUCAUUCUGGGCAAGUGACCAUACUCAAACUAGAGCAAGAGUCCUGCAGCCUUGUUACGACAUUUAAGGGACACACAGGUGGUGUCACUGCUCUCUGUUGGGACCCAAUACAGCGAGUUUUAUUCUCGGGCAGUUCUGAUCAUUCCAUUAUAAUGUGGGAUAUUGGAGGAAGAAAAGGAACAGCCAUCGAGCUGCAAGGACAUAACGAUAAAGUUCAGUCUCUCUCCUACGCUCACCACACUCGGCAGCUCAUCUCCUGUGGUGCAGAUGGGGGAAUCGUCGUCUGGAACAUGGAUGUUGAGAGGCAGGAGACCCCAGAGUGGCUGGAUAGUGACUCCUGUCAAAAAUGUGACCAGCCUUUCUUCUGGAACUUCAAGCAAAUGUGGGACAGUAAGAAAAUAGGCCUCAGGCAGCAUCACUGUCGGAAGUGUGGGAAAGCUGUCUGCGGCAAAUGCAGCUCCAAGCGCUCCUCCAUCCCGCUGAUGGGGUUCGAGUUCGAAGUGAGGGUCUGCGAUAGCUGUCACGAGUCCAUCACGGAUGAAGAGCGGGCGCCCACGGCCACUUUCCACGACAGUAAGCACAACAUCGUUCACGUACACUUUGAUGCCACGAGGGGAUGGCUGUUGACCUCAGGGACAGACAAGGUUAUUAAGUUGUGGGAUAUGACACCAGUUGUUUCUUGAUGGUACGUCAGUGGAACUUACAGAAGAAACAGAUUUCCUAACCCUAAUCAUACUGCAGAAGAUAGGUAACGCUGGGUGCAUAUGGCAGAUCAGAAAGGAACUAAUGCGUUUACAACGGUUUUACGUCCUCUGCUUGAUCAAGGCUGAACAUUUGCACGAAGACUCUUUCCACUUAUUCUCAAAAUAUACAAGAAGCUAGAUGCUUUUUUCCUCUUGGAAGGCUUUUCGUUACACCUUGUGCAUGUUUUCUGAUGACUGAAGUGUUCUUGGCUGACAAAGCUAUGCAAGAUGAGCAAGUUGCCUGCCAAUAUUUCACUCCAGCUGGAGAAGAUGUAUGAAACUUUGCUGGACUAUGCUGUUCCACGUUACCUUGGGCUCAGGGCCUGUUGGCCGAAGACCUGACUUGCUUUGCUCUGCAGAGAGUAUCUCUCAUGGUGGCAGAAACACGGGAGCACUGAAGUGCACUUAAAUCACUGUUCAGCGCUCUGUUCCUGAGGAGACAGCAGUUGCAACAAGCCUGGGACUCCAGCGUGAAUUGUGCUUACACUGAUGGAGUGGUGGAGUCAGCAAGCUGAGGAUCUACCCCCGAGUCAACGCCUAGUCCUUUUGAACAUGUAAUGUUCAAACAGAGGAUGGAUUCCUGUGCCAAGUCCCUUCAGCGUUGUCUUCUUGCAUAAUAUUGAGGAAGAAACAGAUUUUUCGCUUCAAAAUUGCAUGUGAAAUUUGGCAGGAAAUCUUUGCUCCUCAGAAGAAAGAAGUGGUCCAUAGUUUGGCAACAACCUGAAGUUCUGGAGUUUAACUCUGGUCACUCACAUGUGAUUUUUUCAUUGCAUUUUCCCAGUUUGGGGGAUUUUCCCUUGUGACCAGUCUUUGGGUAUCUCUGAAAUUUUGUUUGCUGCAGGACAACACUGUGCUGCUAAGAACAGAAAGAGGUUGAGCUCAAGGGCAUUGAAACUGGUGCCAUGUGAGGACAUCGAACUCAAAACAAAAUCAAAACAAGAGAGCACAGUCUACUGGCAAAGUCUUUGCAAGGAAGAGAUGCCAAGAGAGAAUGUUAUCAGCAUACAAAAAAAGCCAGCAGUGUAGAAAUGAAUAUUCAUCAGAACUGUGUAAAGCCGAACCAUCCCCUCUCCCAGCACUGCAAGCUGACCAGCAGCCCUGGUCAGGAGCCAGAAGCCACAAGGAGCGGAGUUGUUCUAGUGAUGGGGUGGUAGAUCGAGUCUAUGAAUAUCUGACUUAAAUUUCUUGCUCUUUGGUUUGAUCACGCAACAGCAUUUAUCUACCUCAAGUAGUGCUCUAAGAAAUGCAUUAAAUGUGGAAGCACUUUGACAUUAAAAUGAUGGGGAAGAGACACGUCACUACUGAGAUGGUGCAGAAGAGGUGUCAGGCUUUAUGAAGAUACAGGUUUUGCCUCUCUCCAGUUACUUGUUCCCUAUACAUUAAAUAAUCUGAAUUUAUUGAAGGUUUUAUCACCUUUGUAUUUUCCAGGCUUCUUUACACAAUUUUUUCAUCCCUGUUCACUGAAUUCAGCACCUUUGCAGAUACUAACCAAAUGCAAACAUUUCAUAACAGGUCAGGGCUUCCCUCAGAGGUGAAAGACCCAUCAUUAACACCUCUACUUUGUCCUGUCCCAAGAAAAUUCGGUGGGGUUGCCACCACCAAGUAAUCAAGAAAGUUUCAGAAAAAAAUGAGUUAUGCAAACUUGAUUCGUCUUUGCUGUUACCACUAGUUCCAGGUGUGGUUUAGUUUUCCAAAGGCUGAGCAUUGCUUCUGACUCCACUUGAUCAGGAUGACUGCGGGAGUAGAGAGUUUUCAAGUCGUCUCACUUGCAUUUUGAAAUUAUCUCCUGUAAUCAGUCUCUGGAUCCGCCCAAAUGCACCCAGAACUACCUCUCCCAACGAAACAAGAGAUGUAAGCCUGAUGGACAAACAAGGAAGUAUGCUGAGCUGAGCCAGGAGAGAUCUGAAGCUUCCUGCUGCCAUUCAAAGUGGUAACAGCUCAUUUAAAGUGGGUGAAUGUUGGUUGACCAGCACUAAUUUUAGAUAAGGAGGAUCUAGUGUUAUGAGAAGGGGCACUUUAUUUUUGCAUGAGGUGUGAGAGCAACACACACAGGGAAUGGAAGACGGGCACGGGCAAAAGGAACUUAAGGAUUAAACUGGUUUGUAACUGCCCUUCUCCACUGCAGUCAAUGACCACCAGGUUGGUCUCUGAAAGAGUAACCCUUAUGUUCACUCUCCACCCACCGAGUUAAACACUGGGUAAUGAAAACUAGUACUGCUCCGACUGCUAUGGCUUUAAAAAAUGCUCUGUCAUUCAAAAAAUACAAGUAGUGAUUGAAUUGAAAAUGGGCAUGUCUUGCCCAGGGCUGUGUCCCACCAAAUAAAUUGUUUACAUUGAGUCUUUCAGCACUGACCUAAGUCUGUCUACAUUGACAUCUGUAGUACAACUCCCAUCUUUGAGCCUGGGCAGGGGAUUUCAUCAUCGCCCCCGCCCCGAGCCUUGUUUAAGGGGGUGUCCCUGCCUGCAUCUUGUUCCCAGGGGGUGGAACAGGGAAUGCGGAGAGCUGGGACAGCACAAAAGCUGGCAGGGGUGCUGCUGCAAAUGCAGACAGUUGGUACGUGCAGUUUACUCCAAAAUAGUGAGGUAUAUAUGGGAAUGCCCUGCCAUUCAAAGGCAGACAACAAACAAUUGUUUAUAACUUUAAUCAACCACAGAUUGCUUUAUUUUGUUUUUUUUUUUUACAAAGAAUAAACAUUGGCCCAGAAAUGAAGCUUCGAAGAAGAGGAAAUGCAGGUUACAAAAUCAUCUGGUAUCUGUUACGUUGACCUCCUAAAAUUUUCACCAAAGACAGAGGAAUGUUUCAGUGGCCCCUGCAUCACUGCAGUCACCUUCUAUUUCUGGUAAUCUGUCACUGGAUGCUAUUUUUCUCUUGCCCCUAAAAUUUUAUAGGUGGCACUAAAUGUAUUGGCUUACGUGCAGGUACAAGUCAUUCUGAAUUGCAUUAACACAAAGCAUCUCACUGGCUUUACAGCCACAGGCCAUGUUUGCUCUUGGGGAAAAGGGCUGAAAUAAAGCAUGGUCAGGACCAUAAUACCAGAGUGUGGGAGACUCUGGAUUUUGUUUCUAAUUGCUGUCUUGUGUUUUAAUUCUCUUUAAAUCACAAGUGUUCUUAAACCACAGUAUCUGGCUCUUUUACACUGUGACCAAACUUUGAUUAAAGCAGCUUUCAUACCUUUGGCUUUGUUUUUAAGCUGUGACUAAAAAGAAAAAUACAGGCUAUUCAAAUACAUCAGUACAGAAUGUGGACUAAACCACAUUAUAUAUAUUAUGCACUUUGGUUAUUUUUAUGAACUAUUUAAAUAAUAGCAGUCAUUAAACUUUUCUACUAUACUGCAGAGCUGAGAAGCAACUUGACUUACUCAAGUAUGCAAAUGUUAUUAGCCUUGCAGCUACUGGAUUGAGAAACAUAGUUACUAUAUACGCUUCCAGCCAUGCUCUUGUUUUCAGUAACUGUAUUUAACAGUUUGAACCAUGUAAAAUGUUAAUAACAGACUUCUAGGAAAUAAAUGUCUGUACAAGU